rnacentral:rRNA from 1 species
GAUCAUGGCUCAGGAUGAACGCUAGCGACAGGCUUAACACAUGCAAGUCGAGGGGCAGCACAGGUAGCAAUACCGGGUGGCGACCGGCGCACGGGUGAGUAACGCGUAUGCAACUUGCCUAUCAGAGGGGGAUAACCCGGCGAAAGUCGGACUAAUACCGCAUGAAGCCGGGGUCCCGCAUGGGGAUAUUUGCUAAAGAUUCAUCGCUGAUAGAUAGGCAUGCGUUCCA